GGGAUCAGCAAGGAGUGUUGGGCCAGUUUGGAUCCUCCCUCUAGUGUCCAGUGUGCCUGCAGGCAGCUGUGUGCAUUGAUUGUGCCAACCUCAGGCCAGAAGAGUAGCAGCAGGUUUGUACACGCCGAACAGAAAUGUCUGCUUCCUGCUAAAUCCAUUAGAAACUGAUACAAGGGCGAGAAGAAUGGAUGUAACGAAACAGGUAAGGUAUUCGGGUUUAAAAGAAUGUGGAAUAACAGACCCGACUGUGGCAAACAUGGGUAAAGAAAAGUCUCAUCUUCGG
rnacentral:lncRNA from 1 species